GGCGCAGCACGCGAGUCCAACAUGUGAGAGCAGUGUAUCCAGCAGCAGCGCGAAGAGCGGCCAAGGUGUGCGCGCAUCGGCCGGACGGCAACACUCGGAGCACGUCCGCACCGCAAGUUGCCCGCGACGCGUCUGUAGUGGACACCUGUGCAUCCCAAUGACCCGCACACGUCUCCGCGGAGUGGUCCGAAGUCGGGUCCACGCUUUCCUUUUUCAGCUCUUGGCUUGGUGAUCGCCCUCAACGUCGUCCUGCCAGAUUUUCUCGAAGGCUGUCUUAGCGCUGCCGGACGUUGUGUGCUCUGGCCUCCCGCUGGCGUCUACCCCCUCACGCCGCACGCACGUGGUCCGGUGGGCGGCGCAUGGCGGUCGGCAGCGUCGACGGCGGCGCUUUCACUGCGGCCGCGCGCGCUGGCUCGUAAUCUCCCGAGAGGUGCUAAUGGCAUUAGCCGUUCCCAGAAGGCCUCGUCGGCGACCCCGUGCGCGGGCCGUGAUUUAGGUGCGCCCCGCCCCUCCGCCGAGCGGCCGCUGGCCUUCCGGCUUCGAUUGACAGCUUUACAGUGGCUCGUCACCAGUGGGACCCGCGGCACUCGUCAUCAUUUGACGGAACCCUGAAGAGCUUCAUCGCAUGUUCAAGCACUACUGCGAGAACGUCGAAAGAAGGUUGAGAGUAUCGUGGUAGACGCCGUCACAACAACACACUCUGCAGGUUCUUGCGUCAGGGAUCAAGUCAUCUUUUCUGGGAGUAAAGCGAGCUGACGACAUAGCCGUCCUCCUUACGCAAAGCCUACGAGCAAAUCAUGCAUGCAUGCAUCGGCGAGCUCCUGCACUUCCUGAGAAUGACCACGAAGGCUGGCACAUCCCGCCUAAUCGUGACGCCUUAAUUCCCGCCUAAAGGGAGCGUCAGGAGUGGGCCGGAGCACAUGAAUAUACUGCAGUAAAACACGUUGUGGGGCUAGUUGGUGCAUAGCUUUCAAUAGAAUAAG